UUUGCUCCACUUGAGGAUACAGAGCACCCCGGCAGCAGGAGGAGAAGCAGCCAGAGCCUGAGGGGAAACCUGCCUCCAUUCUCCUCUCCAACUCUUUGUUUCUCAUCCUGGUGGAGUCAGAGAGGUUCCCAAGUGGAAGCUGCACCCGGCAUCUCAUCAGUGAGGGCCCCAGUUAGCAGGAACAUCAAAGGUAGAAAUGCUGGAACCUGAAAAAAAGAAUGCUCUGUCCAGCUUGAAAGAAGCAUUCUACUGAAGUGUGGUGAUAAGAUCCGGAUUAGAAUCAGCAUUGAUGGAUCAUAGAAGGAUUAAAGUGACAGGGUCCCAAA
rnacentral:lncRNA from 1 species